rnacentral:rRNA from 1 species
UACGGGGGAGCAAGCGUUGUCCGGAUUUACUGGGCGUAAAGAGCGCGCAGGCGGUCGUUCAAGUCGAGUGUGAAAGCCCCCGGCUCAACUGGGGAGGGUCAUUCGAUACUGAUCGACUCGAAGGCAGGAGAGGGAAGUGGAAUUCCCGGUGUAGUGGUGAAAUGCGUAGAUAUCGGGAAGGAACACCAGUGGCGAAGGCGAACUUCCUGGCCCUGUUCUUGACGG